GAUGAACGCUGGCGGCGUGCCUAAUACAUGCGAGUCGAGCGAACAGACGAGGAGCUUGCUCCUCUGACGUUAGCGGCGGACGGGUGAGUAACACGUGGAUAACCUACCUAUAAGACUGGGAUAACUUCGGGAAACCGGAGCUAAUACCGGAUAAUAUAUUGAACCGCAUGGUUCAAUAGUGAAAGACGGUUUUGCUGUCACUUAUAGAUGGAUCCGCGCCGCAUUAGCUAGUUGGUAAGGUAACGGCUUACCAAGGCGACGAUGCGUAGCCGACCUGAGAGGGUGACCGGCCACACUGGAACUGAGACACGGUCCAGACUCCUACGGGAGGCAGCAGUAGGGAAUCUUCCGCAAUGGGCGAAAGCCUGACGGAGCAACGCCGCGUGAGUGAUGAAGGUCUUCGGAUCGUAAAACUCUGUUAUUAGGGAAGAACAAAUGUGUAAGUAACUAUGCACGUCUUGACGGUACCUAAUCAGAAAGCCACGGCUAACUACGUG
rnacentral:rRNA from 1 species